rnacentral:rRNA from 1 species
GACGGAGGGUGCUAGCGUUGUUCGGAAUUACUGGGCGUAAAGGGCGCGUAGGCGGCCAUGUAAGUCGGGUGUGAAAGCCCGGGGCUCAACCCCGGAACGGCACCCGAGACUGUGUGGCUGGAGACCGGAAGAGGUGAGUGGAAUACCCAGUGUAGAGGUGAAAUUCGUAGAUAUUGGGUGGAACACCGGUGGCGAAAGCGGCUCACUGGUCCGGUUCUGACGCUGAGGCGCGAAAGCGUGGGGAGCAAACAGGAUUAGAUACCCCCGUAGUCC